AUUGAACGCUGGCGGCAUGCCUUACACAUGCAAGUCGAACGGCAGCGGGGACUUCGGUCCGCCGGCGAGUGGCGAACGGGUGAGUAAUGUAUCGGAACGUACCUUUCAGUGGGGGAUAACGUAGCGAAAGUUACGCUAAUACCGCAUAUUCUCUGAGGAGGAAAGCAGGGGACCUUCGGGCCUUGUGCUGAUGGAGCGGCCGAUAUCAGAUUAGCUAGUUGGUGAGGUAAAGGCUCACCAAGGCGACGAUCUGUAGCGGGUCUGAGAGGAUGGACCGCCACACUGGGACUGAGACACGGCCCAGACUCCUACGGGAGUCAGCAGUGGGGAAUUUUGGACAAUGGGCGCAAGCCUGAUCCAGCCAUGCCGCGUGAGUGAAGAAGGCCUUCGGGUUGUAAAGCUCUUUCGGACGGGAAGAAAUUGGUGGGGCUAAUAUCCCCAUCGGAUGACGGUACCGUAAUAAGAAGCACCGGCUAACUACGUGCCAGCAGCCGCAGUAAUAC
rnacentral:rRNA from 1 species